UACAUAAGUAGAGGCGCAUCAAAUAUCAGUAUGGUUAAGUUGGUUGAUACCAAUAACUUAAUUUGAAAGGAUUUGGUGCCGAAGUGAAUCGGUACGAUCAAUACCAUUUGCUGGGGCAGUUUCCGAAAGGGGCUGCACUGUCAUAGUAAUUUUUAUCCGUGAGGAUAAAACAAUGGAUAUCGAUGUUGAUAUCGAUAUUACUGUGGAGUGCUACUGAAAAG
rnacentral:ncRNA from 2 species